AACUCUUUACUUUCCAUGAUCGAUUCAGCUUCAGUUUACCAUCUUCAUUCACCAAAUUCCACCCAGCAACCUUUGGCAUCAUUUCAGUUGCAUUUUCUUCUGUCAUAGGAUGCAUAUCCUUCGAGCUGCAUGAUACACACUUCUUUGCAGCCAAAUCUAACGUCAUGACAAAACAGCAUCAGACAACAAGAAUGAACUGCCCCACACGCAAUGUGUUCUAUGAUAAAACUAGUUACUACUUGAGGUCUGGAGAGAGGAGAGACAGAAAGAGUAGAGGUGGCAGAAAAAGAACCGAGUCAUCGGUUGAUCGACGAGCUCUGGUUAGUCACCUGGCCUGAAAAGCGG
rnacentral:misc_RNA from 1 species